AUUGAACGCUGGCGGCAGGCUUAACACAUGCAAGUCGAGCGGGGUGAGGUGCUUCGGUACUGAUCCUAGCGGCGGACGGGUGAGUAAUGCUUAGGAAUCUGCCAUUUAGUGGGGGACAACAUUCCGAAAGGAAUGCUAAUACCGCAUACGUCCUACGGGAGAAAGCAGGGGAUCUUCGGACCUUGCGCUAAAUGAUGAGCCUAAGUCGGAUUAGCUAGUUGGUGGGGUAAAGGCCUACCAAGGCGACGAUCUGUAGCGGGUCUGAGAGGAUGGUCCGCCACACUGGGACUGAGACACGGCCCAGACGCCUACGGGAGGCAGCAGUGGGGAAUAUUGGACCAUGGGCGGAAGCCUGAUCCAGCCAUGCCGCGUGUGUGAAGAAGGCCUUUUGGUUGUAAAGCACUUUAAGCGAGGAGGAGGCUACCUGGAUUAAUACUCUAGGAUAGUGGACGUUACUCGCAGAAUAAGCACCGGCUAACUCUGUGCCAGCCGCCGCAGUAAUAC
rnacentral:rRNA from 1 species